AUGGAUGCACCUCAAUUCCAAUCUGACACCUGUAAAGAUUUUCACAUGUUGUUAAUGUAUGCCAAGAUAGCAUACAUGAAGUUAAUGUAUUCUAAGUUAAUGUGGAUCAAAGCGGCUGACUGCACCAUCAAUGGACGAGAAUUUCUCACUGAACUGUUUUUGUUUGUUCAGUUGCAGGCACUCUGCAUGGACAAGAAUUUAUCACUGUCACUGGUUUUUAUUACUUCAUCAAGUAAAUCAUUGUCUAAUACCGAACGAGUUGAAACUCAUGAUGUUUUAUUGAACAAUGAUCUAUUUGGAAGCUAA
rnacentral:rRNA from 1 species